GGAAAGGCAGAAGCUAAGCCUGGGGGCCUCGACCAUCCACACAGUGUAUGCUAGAGUGACAGGCUAUGAGAGAGAUGGUGUGUCAGGUGGAGAGGAGGCUCUUUCCGUAUUAGAAAGGACUGGCAAAGGAACCAGAUGCAGAAAAAGAGAAGAUAGAAAAAGAAUUCAGGCAAACACUAAGUCGCUCAGCCUCCCAAUGACAAAGGUUUUCUGAGUGUUUCCCUGAGUAGCAAUAAGACUUUG
rnacentral:lncRNA from 1 species